rnacentral:misc_RNA from 1 species
UACGAAGGUCCCAAGCGUUGUUCGGAAUCACUGGGCGUAAAGCGUGCGUAGGCGGCACGGUAAGUCAGAUGUGAAAUCUCUGGGCUCAACCCGGAAACUGCAUCCGAUACUGCCGUGCUAGAGUAAUGGAGGGGUAGCUGGAAUUCUCGGUGUAGCAGUGAAAUGCGUAGAUAUCGAGAGGAACACUCGUGGCGAAGGCGAGCUACUGGACAUUUACUGACGCUGAGGCACGAAGGCCAAGGUAGCGAAAGGG